UACGAAGGGGGCUAGCGUUGUUCGGAAUCACUGGGCGUAAAGGGCGCGUAGGCGGCUUUAUAAGUCGGGGGUGAAAGCCUGUGGCUCAACCACAGAAUUGCCUUCGAUACUGUAGAGCUUGAGACCGGAAGAGGUAAGUGGAACUGCGAGUGUAGAGGUGAAAUUCGUAGAUAUUGGGAAGAACACCGGUGGCGAAGGCGGCCAUCUGGACCGGUUCUGACGCUGAGGCGCGAAAGCGUGGGGAGCGAACCGG
rnacentral:rRNA from 1 species